CUUGGUCAUUUAGAGGAAGUAAAAGUCGUAACAAGGUCUCCGUUGGUGAACCAGCGGAGGGAUCAUUACCGAGUUUACAACUCCCAAACCCCUGUGAACAUACCUUACUGUUGCCUCGGCGGAUCAGCCCGCGCCCGGUAAAACGGGACGGCCCGCCAGAGGACCCCUAAACUCUGUUUUUAUUGUAACUUCUGAGUAAAACCAUAAAUAAAUCAAAACUUUCAACAACGGAUCUCUUGGUUCUGGCAUCGAUGAAGAACGCAGCAAAAUGCGAUAAGUAAUGUGAAUUGCAGAAUUCAGUGAAUCAUCGAAUCUUUGAACGCACAUUGCGCCCGCCAGUAUUCUGGCGGGCAUGCCUGUUCGAGCGUCAUUUCAACCCUCAAGCCCUCGGGUUUGGUGUUGGGGAUCGGCGAGCCUUAUGGCAAGCCGGCCCCGAAAUCUAGUGGCGGUCUCACUGCAGCCUCCAUUGCGUAGUAGCUAACACCUCGCAACUGGAACGCGGCGCGGCCAAGCCGUUAAACCCCCAACUUCUGAAUGUUGACCUCGGAUCAGGUAGGAAUACCCGCUGAACUUAAGCAUAUCAAUAAGCGGAGNA
rnacentral:rRNA from 1 species